rnacentral:lncRNA from 1 species
ACAGACAUGACCGGGCUAGAUGUUGGCAUGGAAGCAAAGGUAGGCGCAAAGCCUUCGGGCCAAAGUUCGUAGGCAUUCCCCACGGGAAUCCGGCAAGCAUAGUUGGAGCGAACUGAGUGGCAGGCACAAUUGAAGUAACAAUCUCGGAGAUGAAAGUCCUCUGAGGAGGAAGAGUUGCAGGCGUUGGAGAAGAUUGACUUUGAGUAGCUAGAACAAAC